AAAACCAGGAGAGAUUCUCAUGAGUGUGUGACAUUUAAAUACUGACCCUACAGUAGAUGAUCUGAUAAAACAGACUACUUUCAAACACAUAUAAUUUACUUUUUUCUACUUAUAAUUCUCCUAUUCAUUAUAAUGGUACAGAAACUAGACAGCUUUUUACCAAGUUUAUUUCUGCUCAUUUGGGGUUCAUCACUGACUGCUUCUCCCAGUAUCUUUUGGGGGUCAAGUAUGACCAUGUGAUUGACUUCUAGGCAACUGAUUGUGAGAGCAAGUGACAGAAGCCUCCUCUUGCUCUGGCUCAUAGACUUCCGAAGGUGAUUCUCAAACUCUUUUCUCUUCCCUUGGCAUGGGGCAGAGGAGUACAGCAAGCUUGGAAGCUGAUGAUGAAGAUGGUGGAAGCAGAGAUUGAUGGAAGCAACAAUCAGAAACACCUAUUUUCACAUUUACAUGAAUGAGAAAUAAGGUUUGCUUGUUUUAUGUACAAGGAGGAGCCAGCCCCUGGAUAUUAGCAGGUGAACAUCUGCUUCCUUCUCAUUUUUGCUUUAUUGUCUCAUGACGGGCCGUGAAAGGUACAAAGGAAACUUCACAGAAGUUACUUCUGAAUUAUUCUCUGCCAAACUUGACAUGACAUCUUCGAGGGAAAAUCCAGGCAGGCCCCUCUCUAACUGUGGGGUUGAUUUGUUAUAUUCGGCAGAGACUGAAUGACGGGGAGAAUUAAGGGGCUGACAUUCCAAAACACUAUAUUCGGAUUUCUUUUAUUCAUGUGAGGUUAAAAACGUACGUCGAGAAUCACCUUGAAAAUGUUCCCAUAACAUAGACAAGCGGCAUUAAAUUAAUUCUAGAAAUUCAGUUGAGAUUUUGAAACAGUGAUUUAAGAGAGGAUUGUUUCCAGAUUUUAGCCAAUACUUUUCAAUUUACUUGCAUCAUUAAAUAUAGCACAAUUUUCAGUGUAAUGAACGUGAUAUUGUACAGAAAUUAGAUCUUCUCAGUAUUAAAAGAUGAAAAAAAAACAAGAGCAGUCAGACGAACCCUGAGAAAAAAUAUCCUGCAAACCUCAGAUAAAUGCAGAACGCCUACCAGCAGAGUUCGUAUGAAACAAAUAGAUGCAACCAGAGUCACACUCUAUUUCCAGCCCAGAUAAAAAGCAAAUUUCUCAUCCUCAAAUUAUGUGCAUUUCCAUUCAAAUCCACUGUAGCUUUUAAAAGAUGCAGGCAGCUUUCAGACAAGCCUAGUGGGUUCAUCAUUCAUCUUGAGGGAUCCUUUUUUGCAGGAAGCACAGGAGGAUGCUACCAUUUAUCCUGCAGUGUUGAUGAGAAACAACCUACCUACCCCAGGGCUGUUAGCAGAUGGACAAUCCCAACAGACAACCUAUAGAAGACGUCCUGGGGAGAAGCUUCUGGAUCACCCUAAAUUUGCUGUGACAUCUCUACACCCAGUCCCUGUGUGCCCUGGCACACGUCUCUUUCCUGAGGUUUCUAGCUGUGCAACACUUUAUUCAGUCAUUCAACAAAUAUUGACUGAGUGCUCCCACAUGCUAUAAACUAGGUUCUCGUUGUGCGAAAUGGGCCACCCCCUCCCACCAAGGAGCUUGCAGUCAAACGGAGAACACAUGAGUUAAUGGACGCUCACGUGAGAUGGGGUCUGGUGUGGGAAAGUGGAAGAUGACCUAGGGGGACACUUGUCCAUCCUGCCUCCAACAUGUAAUCACAGCCACCACACAGUAGUGACAGUAAGAGAUUGAUGUGUUUCAAGCAAUUUAAAAAAAUAUUCCUUUUCUAAUCUAGCAUACAUCUGCCUGUUUUGCAUUUUCUUGCUUAAUGGUAUUACAAGUGUUGUUAAUCACUUUAUAAAAUUGUUUUAUCAAAGCAAUGUAAUAAUUGGAAAGGUCACAUUAUAUACAACAGUAACAGUUAAACUGCACCAGAAUAAAUUUGUGGGAAAGUCUAAUGUUCAAUAGUAUCUGUUAUUAGAGAAACAAACUCCAUUAACUGUAAAAACGGAUGAGAGCGGCGGCUCACAUUGUAACUUUAAGUAUUCUGUACCGUGGAAGGGUGACUCAUGCAGGGAGCAGGGACGGUUUACUUGACUAUUGUCUGAAGUGGAAGGGCAUCGGCUGGUUAGCACGCGACAGGGUUGUAAACGGGCACAUUGGGGUCUGUGACAGCAUCCCCGGGCGUCGAGUCACAUACAGCCAGUGAAACAGACAACAACGAGAAUGCACAUCCCGGAGCUAUGCAUCCUGGCAGCCUUGGCGUGAAACACGAGAUUUGAAGCAGAGAAACUAACAUCCACAGAAUAUCAAGAAACCGAAGCUUCCCAGGCCUGACUUCGUGGCUUCCUGACGUCAGAGUCUACCUUACACCAUGGAGAUAAACAGCCAAGGAUGCUCACCUGAGAAAUCCUUUGUCUCCUUUGCUGGAAGCAGCCCCAGACACAGGCCGAUGGGAAAAUGCUGACCAAGAAGGCCACGGCCUCCCUACCCUACCUAAAACCCCAAAUAAAAACCCUUACCCCUUUCUUAAUGAGGAGCUAGCAAUUCUUGAGGCACUAGCCCUUGCUUUGCUCCCUCUGCUUGGCAAAGUAAAGCCUUUCCUUUUUCAUCCAAGACUCUGUUCUCAUUAUUUGGGUUGGCAUUGGGAUCAGAGAAUGAACUUCCCGCAACAGUAGGAAGCGGACCACCCCCAGCCCCUUGUCUCACUUUUCUAUGCCCCUUACCCACUCCUCUCAAGGGAGGUGAAGUCACGUCCCUGAUUGGUAGAUUUGGGACUGAUGAUCUGCUCACACCUGGCAUGGCUUUUCCGCUUUUCCGCCUGAGCACAGCCUGAAUGCAGAGUACUUUCCUCUGCCCCUUCAGCCAAAGCAUCUCACUAGUCCAGCAACCCUACACUGUCUAUGCCUACGGCACUUCUGAUCCAUUUUCCUCUGCUCCGCUUUGUUCUCCUAAAGCAAUAACCACCUCCCAGCACACUCUAUGACUUACUUAUUGAUGUUAUUGUUUAUUUUUUGUCUUCUCCAGUUAGAACUUAAGCUCCAGGAGAACAAGCAUUUACAUCCUUGUCAUUAACUGGGGGCUCCUCCUGCCCAGAACAGCCCCUGACACCUUGUUGGUGCUUAUUGUUGAAUGAAUGAAUAAAUAAUUUAUUCAGAAUUCUGGUGGGGAAGAGGGUGCUAUUUAUAAAGAACUCAGAGGCCCAAACUUUGAAGAUGAGACAUAGACAAAGAGGAAGCUAACAUAACAAGACUGAUCUAACAAUAAUCGAAAGGAUGUCAUUAGGGAGAAAAUACGAUUGUUUGUCGAAAUAAAGAUACCAAAAAUAUUUGCUUGACCUACCAAAGGAGAAUGGCUAAAUGAGGCUGGUUAAGGAGGGCAGUCUUCAUAGAGGAGGAGGGAAUGCACUGAUGGAUAAGUAGAUUUGAUGUGAGUGGGGGUAUUUGCAUUUAGGUCUGUUUUCCUCCCCACUUAUCACAGGAAGGUUCCUCUACUUUGAAGCAUGCUAAUAAAAAUCAUCAGCAUGACCUCCUCCUUCCUUUCUGCUGCUUCUCAGGGAGUGAGAUACAAAAAAACAAUGAAAUCAUGGAUUUUGCUUUCGUAAAACACUAGAUAGAUCAGAAUCUAGAAUUUUUGCUUUAUUAUCUCUGCCAACAAUUAAAUAACAAUUCAGUAUCAUCUAGUAUAGCAAAACAUAUCUGAUUAUAGUGGAUCACUCCAUGAUCUUUUGGUUUUUAAAUUUAAUUUGUGAGCUCUGUCUUAAAGCAUAUUGGUAAGGGGAUCCGAAUUUUUUUUACUAGAUGAAACGCUAUUGGGACCUUAGUCUUUAAAAUGACCUUGGAUCCAAAACAUUAACAAGACCACAAGUUUCAGCAUCAAGUUUUAUUUCUUUUAAAUGUGAACAUUUCUAUAUCUCCUACUAACACAAGACCAACUAUAUAAAUGAACACAAAUAUAUAAAUGCCUGAGGAUAUGAGGAUCUCAUUUUACUUAAAUAUUAAUAUCUGAUGUUUCACGUCACUGAAAACAGAGUUUGUAACUUUCAAUUCUCUCUACUCACGAACCUAACCUUCUCUUCUUUUUUUAAAAAAUGGUGACCUUUAAUAAAUGAAAAAGAACUCAAAUCUCAUAAAAGUGAAAUUUUAUAACAAUAAAAAGGCUUAUACUUAAAGUUUUUCAGCAGUUUUUUAAGCGUAAGUUCAAAUUCUAUUGCCAGGAGUGAUUUAGCCCCAGCUUCAGAUGUGUAAGAUUCUGCACAGCUUCCAGAGGUGUAAAUAACUCCAUCACAGUUGGUUAAUCGCCGAUGGAAUGUGCCACAGCAUUCUAAUUAGCUUACUGCUUCAUCAUUUGAAGGAAGUAAGUGGCUAGCUGCGCUAAUAAUUUCCAUAGUUUGGAUUGUCAAAGAAAUCAUGCCUAGAUUAAAAAUUCUGGAGAAGAUUCACACAGGAAAGCAAAAUCUUUUUCCAAAGACCACAGGAAGAAGAUCUAAGUGAUUUUUGAGGAUGACUGUCUUUAUUUUUAUUGAAAUCAUUAAAUGUAACGAACCACAUUAAUGCAACGCUGAAUCUGAGAAUCUGAUAGGAUACGUUGCAGUGAUGGAAAGUUUUGGACUUUUCCUUAAUAUGAGCUCACUGAGUUCACUUUUCUGAGUGAAUUCUGAGUUCACUUUCUUUAAUAUGGUAUAAUUUAAUUUUAUAGAAUAAUAUAUAAAAUUAUAGCUUUGUGCAGGACAAAAGACUGAGCUGUGUUAGACUUUAUUCCUAAUUCUGUCACUAAUUCCUUAUUUAUGGUCACAUGAUACCAAAUAUCUCAAUGACUGAAACGUUUGCCAAAUGAAUUAGGGUUAAUAAGAUGUGAAGAAUUAUGUUAAUGACUUAGAUUUUGCCAGCUAACGGCAUUUCAUUGUUGUCACAUGGACCUAGUUUACAGGUCCACAUGCUUUUUAGCUUAUG